UACAAAUUUGAACGGCUAAAUACGCCACUUCCUGUGGCAACGCCGUUCUGAUCAACAUCCUGUUGG
rfam:Virgibacillus soli strain PL205 scaffold000004, whole genome shotgun sequence.